rnacentral:rRNA from 1 species
GAUGAACGCUAGCGACAGGCUUAACACAUGCAAGCCGAGGGGCAGCACGGGAGUAGCAAUACAACUGGUGGCGACCGGCGCACGGGUGAGUAACGCGUAUGCAACCUACCUAUCAGAGGGGAAUAACCCGGCGAAAGUCGGACUAAUACCGCAUAAAACAGGGGCACCGCAUGGUGAUAUUUGUUAAAGAAAUUCGCUGAUAGAUGGGCAUGCGUUCCAUUAGGUAGUUGGUGAGGUAACGGCUCACCAAGCCGACGAUGGAUAGGGGAACUGAGAGGUUGGUCCCCCACACUGGUACUGAGACACGGACCAGACUCCUACGGGAGGCAGCAGUGAGGAAUAUUGGUCAAUGGGCGAGAGCCUGAACCAGCCAAGUCGCGUGAAGGAAGAAGGAUCUAUGGUUCGUAAACUUCUUUUGCAGGGGAAUAAAGUGCAGGACGUGUCCUGUUUUGUAUGUACCCUGAGAAUAAGGAUCGGCUAACUCCGUGCCAGCAGCCGCCGUAAGAC